rnacentral:rRNA from 1 species
AGCGAACGCUGGCGGCAUGCUUAACACAUGCAAGUCGCACGGUCAGCAAUGGCAGUGGCGGACGGGUGAGUAACACGUAGGAAUCUAUCCCGGGGUGGGGGACAACAGUGGGAAACUACUGCUAAUACCGCAUGAUACCUGAGGGUCAAAGGCGCAAGUCGCCUUGGGAGGAGCCUGCGUCUGAUUAGCUUGUUGGUGGGGUAAAGGCCUACCAAGGCGACGAUCAGUAGCUGGUCUGAGAGGAUGAUCAGCCACAUUGGGACUGAGACACGGCCCAAACUCCUACGGGAGGCAGCAGUGGGGAAUAUUGGACAAUGGGGGAAACCCUGAUCCAGCAAUGCCGCGUGUGUGAAGAAGGUCUUCGGAUUGUAAAGCACUUUUGGCAGGGACGAUGAUGACGGUACCUGCAGAAUAAGCCCCGGCUAACUUCGUGCCAGCCGCCGCCGUAGUAAAC